AGACAUCACUUUACUUGCUAAGGAGUGAACGAACGAGUAACUGCUUAGGUGCCGGACAUUUAACUUCCUAUUACUCAUUAAAGUUAAUUACACACUUAAUAAGGUUUGUAGGAAAAAAUAUUUUUUACUUUCCUUACUUUAUUUGAAUUUUUCUGUAAUGAGAAAUAUUCAAAUAAUUUAAAACAAAAGCCAAACAAACGUCUAUACGUCCUUUUGUGACCUUCAAAUGUCCAGCUCAUGACUUUUCGCAUUACAGAUUCAAAAUGAGCGGUGGUUCUGCAUUAUUCGGUUUAAAAGCUUUAAGACAAAAGUGGGAGUUAAUUCCACUGGUCGGUAUUCUUGGAACGGCCUGUAUUGGUGCUACUGCCUACUCUAUUUAUGCUGUAGCCACUAAAAGCGAUGUGAGAGUAAAUAAAACUAAAGCUGUAGCUCCUUGGGAAGAGGUUAAUCCCAAUGUCCCUCAAAAGCUAUUGACACUCAAUCAAAAAUAUGCCGAAAAUGCCGAAUUAGAAGCUCUAAGAAAAGAAAUUGGCAGCUACAAAUGCUAGGGAAAAUCUUUCUUCAAAAUAAUUAUGUCAACUCAAACUGUCCAAAUGAUACGUUUGAUCAUAAUGACCUGCGAUAUUAUUUUGGUCUCAAUUUUACUGUUUAUAUAUAAAUAUUUAUAUUAUGUAUUUAUAUAAUUCAAGUAAAUAUUCUAAGUCCAAGUCCGUCAUCUCUAAUUUUGUGAAUAUUGUACUUUAAAAAUAAAAUUGAAUACUAUAA
rnacentral:misc_RNA from 1 species